rnacentral:lncRNA from 1 species
UCUGGGGUGUCUGAAGGGGUGAGGCCUGCAAGGAUUGGACAAAAGUGGGAGCAGGAACCAAGGGGAACAGGAAUUCUGGGUUCCUGAAGUAGGAAUACAGUGAUUCACUGAAGGGAGAAGGGGAUGGGAUGGGGGGGAGGGUGGCUAACUGUAGCCCCAUUCCUGUUAUUUCUUCUGCUCUCAUUGCUGUCCCUUUUGCUCUCUGUCUUUCUGCCAUUGUCCUUUCUUUCCUGACUACUUCUCUUCUGGCUCCUGUUGCCUGUCCAGACCACAACUCGGCGACCCAAGCCCACGCGCCCAGCCAGUACUGGGGUGGCUGGGGCCAGUAGCUCCCUGGGCCCC